rnacentral:snRNA from 1 species
AUACUUACCUGGCAGGGAAAGUACCAUGAUCACAAAGGUGGUUUUCCCAGGACAAAGCUUCUCCAUUGCACUCUGGAUGUGCUGACCCCUGCGAUUUCCAACCCCCAAACACAAAAAUUAUUCUUACUAACAAAUGAUUUUGGAUCAGAA